rnacentral:rRNA from 1 species
CAUUAUUGAGCAAAGGGCCCCCUUGGGGGCCUGACCUCUUCACCGUGUCGAAUUCGGACCCUGUUGCUUCAGCGGGUCGGAGGGUUGACGGCCUAGCCGCCGCCCCCUCCACAGCCGAUACCCGCUGGAGACCCCUUUGAAACGCUGAUGCUUCAAGCAUAUGCUGUCUGAGUGGAAAUCAAUUCAGUUGCAAAACUUUCAACAAUGGAUCUCUUGGUUCCGGCAUCGAUGAAGAACGCAGCAAAAUGCGAUAAGUAAUGUGAAUUGCAGAAUUCCGUGAAUCAUCGAAUCUUUGAACGCAUAUUGCGCCCUCCGGUAUUCCAGAGGGCAUGCCUGUCCGAGUGUCAUUGCCUUCACCUCCAAGCUUGGCUUGGGUGUUGGGCUGUUUGUCCCCCCGCUCCGUUCGUCGGGGACAGGCCUGAAAGACAGUGGCGAUGCCGUGGUCUGGAUCCCCGAGCGCAUGGGCUUCUCUCGCUCCAGGGGCCUGAUUGGCAUCCGCCGUUCCCUGCGGCGUUUGACUCCAGUGGACCUCGGAUCAGGUAAGGAUACCCGCUGAACUUAAGCAUAUCAAUA